CUUUUGAAGCUUUAAAAGUGAAACUAUCAUUUAUCUUAUGAAGCCUUAUGAACUUUUAUUCAGUAAUGCUUUAACUAUCGAAACCUUUUUCGAGCCCAAACCCCCCAAAAAUUCCACUAAAGUACUUUCUAAGUAAUGCAUUUUGUUUUUAAUUAAUAGUGUGAUGUAAUAUUCAAUAGCAUGAUGUUUUAAACAAAUGUGGUUUAUGUGCCGAAAUGUACACUUCGAUUAGUUUUUUUUUUGUAAUAUAAAUUAAUCAUAGUAAAAACUGAAUAAAAUCCAAAUAAUAUUUGGAAUUUGGUAAUUAGUAUACCGAAUCUAAACAUUACUUAUUAAGGAUUUACCCACAGAUAACCCCUAACGUUAGUAUGAACAACACAAUGUUUCUAAGGUCAAAGGUGUUUAGGGUUCCGUACUGAAAGGGUUAACCCGGGACUCGGGACCCGCUAAUACUUUAUUGUCCAUUUGUCCGUCCGUCCGUUCAUCUGUCACCAGAUUCAACUCAUGAACCGUCAUAUUUUUGUUGCUGCUAUAACAAAAAAAACGCUGAAAUAAGAAUAAAAUAAAUAUUUUAGACGGCUCCCUCCGAUGCAACAAACAAACCUGAUAUGUUCGCUCGUUCUAUAGAUAUUAAAAUAAUGAUACGGAACACUCCGUGUUGGAGUCCGACUCCCAUUUGGCCGGUUUGUUGAUAAUAUUAUGAGUAGAUAAAUCUAUAUAAACCGCCACAGACGUAUAUCCAUAUCAUUUGAGUUAUAAGUCAAAGUGUGUAAACAUGAAAGUGUAUUUGUUGCUCUGUUUGAUGCUUGUUGCACUUGCAUCGACAGCUUUCGCUGGUCCAAUUAGAACAGGUGUAUGUCCAACUGGGUAUAUACGAGUUGAUAAUCACUGCCUUCCGGAAGAUGAUGCCGAUGAUAUAUAAUGUUCAAGAUGUCAAGUAGUUCUGAAAGCAAGAUUUUUAAUUGAAAUACAUUUAGAACCCA